rnacentral:rRNA from 1 species
UACGUGUGGGGCAAGCGUUGUUCGGAAUUACUGGGCAUAAAGGGUGCGUAGGUGGCUUGUUAAGUCAGGGGUGAAAGUUUUCGGCCCAACCGGAAAAUGGCCUUUGAUACUGGCGAGCUCGAGUGCGUGAGGGGUAACCGGAACGAGCAGUGUAGCGGUGAAAUGCGUAGAUAUUGCUCGGAAGGCCAACGGCGAAGGCAGGUUACUGGUGCGCAACUGACACUGAGGCACGAAAGCGUGGGGAGCAAACAGG